rnacentral:rRNA from 1 species
UUGCCAAGCCGCGAGGUGGAGCCAAUACCCUAAGACCGAUCGUAGUCCGGAUCGCAGUCUGCAACUCGACUGCGUGAAGUCGGAAUCGCUAGUAAUCGUGAAUCAGAAUGUCACGGUGAAUACGUUCCCGGGCCUU